UCCUCUGUGGCGCAAUUGGCUAGCGCGUCUGACUGUUAUUCAAACGCAAUCAGGAGGUUGACAGUUCAAGCCUGUCCGGAGGAG